CCCGCCAGCCACUCAGGGGGCCCCACGUCCCGACCUCUCUCCUGCUCCACAAAUUCGUCAGUGGUCGCUUCUCUUGGCGGACCCCACCCCAAUACCCACCUUCGGUGUAGCUUAAGCGUUGCCAAGCAGGUUCUGAAUUCUGCCAGAGGCUAAUCUCUUCCCUACCCCGCCAGGGAUCCGGUUCUGGCCUCUAGGCAGCAAAUGGAAUUGGGUUCUUGAACUGUCAGGUUAAGCUUGGUCAGGAGAGGGUGCUGGCGGGACGCUACAGGGCCAAAGGCUGCUGCUCCAGGUUCAGUGUUUUCUCUUGAUUGUUGCUCUCCCCUUGCUGUCAGCAGCAGGUGUGGAGGACAUUUCUGGGCAUUCACCCUGCACCUCCCCCGACCCCCAUUAACCGUGGAUUCUCAGUGACUCCGGCAGGUGCCCCUGCCUAGCACCAGCCUGCCAACAACCACAGAAAAGAGUUUCCUGCUUGCUAGAUCCAGCCACAGUUCCUUGCUGGCUAGCCGAGGCAGCCUGUAACUAUGGGGUGUUUCCUGUUUGCUCAGCAGGUUUGGAACAGCCUUGACCCAGGGCCAAGAAACUUCUCCACCAUCAAGAGAAUCAUCCUCCCUUCUGCUCAUCUGCCCAAGAAUCUAGAGAACUGAUUAGCUUUCUCUCUCUCUCUCCCUCUCUCCCUCUCUCUCUGUUUAAGGGGGACUCCAUGUGCCCAAACAAGACUCAGAACUCUGUUUCCUCUACACCUUAUUUGUCCUUUGUUCCUCCUUAAUCAGAGUUGGGCAAGGGUAGGAAAAUAAACACACUAUUUUUAAAAA